UUUUUGAAUAGCAUAGAUCUAUUUGUCUAUUUGAAUAGGAUAAAUUGAUUUCACGUUUUUUUUAGCAUUAAAUUGAUUUCACGUUGACCACGCGCCGCCGCCCGUGCGUCCUAUCUGGUCCGCACGCGCGCCGCUCUCGCGCUGCGCGCUCUCCUCUGCGCUGCGCUGGGAAGAAGACCGCUGCCGGCCGCUCUCCUCUCCGCCCCCGCCAGCACUCUCCUCCCCAAUCUCUGCAUCCGGCCGAGCUCCUCUCCGUCCCCGCCGGCGACACCUCCUCCCCGCCGGCGACGCCUCCUCCCCGCAGGUAAAAACCGCAUUCACAGCAUGAGUUCCAGAGAUCUCUAGUAAUUAUUUUGUACCAAAAAAUCUAGUGUUGGAAGGCCCAAUGCAAUAGCAUAUCCUUUUUUUUUUUGUUAGUAGAAAUAGUUCUGACUUAGUGGUGGAUCCCAAAAUCAGAUGAGCAAAUAAUGUGGGGAGCUGCUAAACACCUAGGUGAACAUAUAUUGAAAGGCAUGGUAAUAGCACAACCAUCACAUAUACUACAGUUUGGUUAUUUAGCUUUGAUGUCAUCAUAACACCUUUUAAAUUUGUAUAUGCAAAUUUAUAUGGAGGUCGUUCAUUCUGAUCGUGUAUAUAAGUUCGUUCGAAAAACAUCAUUAAUUAUAAUCGUAUAUGGUUUUCAGAAUAUCAUUAUACUUAUUAUAGUAGUUUAGAUAUAAUGCACUUUUUAGAUGAACCUUUUGUUUUUUAGAUGAACCUUUCCAUAUGAAUCACUCCUUGGUUGCUGAAAAUGCUGUUGCACUCAUACAAUGCAGUUUGGCUAUUUAUACAAGUCAUUGACAUGGAGUAUAUAAUCUAGACAUGCAUGCAAAUCUGUUCCUUAUUUCUACAAGUCAUUAACAUGGAGUAUAAUGCAGUAAUAUUUUCACUAGUACUGUUAUGCUUCUCUAUGAAAAUAUUUUUCAGAGUCUUAACUACCCGAUAGUGCUUCUAGGUUUCAUUUCAGCUAUAUCAAUGUCUUUAGCUAGUGUUUUACUUACCUUACCAAGAUGAGAAUCCAAAUAUAGUAACAUUUUCAAAUGAUUGCUAGAUGUUGUUCUAGCACCAUAGAAUAAAUUUCACUUCAGCAUUUAUCACAGGACAUGUCCUUUACAGUUUGCUGGUAUGAAAAUACAUUUGGGUAACAAGAAUAACUAAGCACUUAAUAAUACAUUAAGUAGCUGAUCUUGAGGAGGGCACAAUUAGGCACAAAAAAGGGUUCUGAUAGCCAUAUAAUACACAUUUAGAAUCGAGAACAUAAUCAUAAGAUGGAAGCAUAAGAAUUGGUGUCAAAAAGACAACCUCUGAUGGUACAGAAUCACUUUGAAGACGACGCCGGUCAGGCAGAGAUGGCAGCUUCCGCCAAAUGGUUGGAGUAAGUGCAAUGUUGAUGCGGCAUUCGAUGCAAAUGCUGGCCAGGGGGGCGAGCAGCUGUUCUUCGGUCUGAAGAUGGUAUUUUUGGCGGUGGUCGUGCUCGAUGGUACCCCCAUGGGAUGGAUGCUCUGAUGAUGGAGGCCUUUGCAUGCCGUGAUGGUAUUCAGUUUGCUAGAGAGGAAAGUGUGGCUAGUCUGCAAGUUGAAACAGAUUGUCAAGAGCUGGUCAGAUUGUGGGCGUUAGGGAACAACCAGCGAUCCUAUAUUGUGCCAGUUAUCAGGGAGAUGGUAGAGCUUAGUUCAGGCAAAUAAUCUUCGGAUGAGCAUAGAAGAGACUAAUAAAUGGUGCAUCCAAACAAACAUAAAGACACUGUAACCAAGGAUCAAAUAGAUUGACUGCGUGCAUUUUAGAAUGCACUGUAUUUUACUAGAAAUUGUAACAGUCAUAUAAAAUAAUUGAAAUGUUCUACGUUCUUGACUACAAAAGUAAUGGUACAAUCCAAGAUUCCAUUAUGUGUUUUCUCUCAAGUAAUUUCCCAAUAAUUUGCACAAUUCAACAACAUCUAUUCCCAAUAAUACACAUUUAGAAUCGUAAGGAAAUUUGCAAGUAGAUCUUCUUACAUGACCACUAAUUUGUGCAUGCAUUAGCUGCAGUGAUAAUCAAGUUCAAGUUUUCAUUUGCCAUGCUUAUGCAUUGAGAAAAAAAGAAGCUGCUAAUUAAUCCACCAUAGUUACUAUAUCACAGCAGUCACUUAUAAUGCCAUAAAUUAAUCAUUGUACCAACUCUUGUGUCUCGGAAUCAGUAGUUAACUGAAUAAGUGAAUCCACUCAAUUAUAGUUUUAUUAAUGAAUCAUACUGUGGAAUGUAUUUCAAAAUAUAUUUUUUGAUGUCAUGUAGCAGGCUAGGGUUCUUAUGAACACCUGUUUUCUGGAACAAUCCUAAUAUCAGUUUCUAGAAAUGAAUAUUUAUGGUGAUACCUAAUUGGUUAACCUUUAAUUGUUUAUUGGACUGUCUGCAGCUAAUAUGUUUUGCCUAACAUAUCUAGUUGGUAACACUUGAACACUUGAUAACCAAAAUAGAAGAGAUAGCCCGAUAGUCUACCAUAAAAUGGCUUCCUAGAGAAACCACAAAAUACUCAACUUUAGAGCCAUGAAGGUAUCAAGGGACACCAGUUCCACACUCUAGUACUGCUAUCUUUCUGCUUGUUCCUGGCUACAUAAAUAGGACAAAGAUGAGACUAACAUCGUCUGAAAAUUCUCAGACUACAGUGUUUAGUCAGACAAAACAAUUUUAGCAUAGGUGGGCAGGACAAGUUCAUAUCCUAGUCUUAGAAGCACCAUGCAUGCAAUGAACAUAAUAAUGGGGUGGGCGCCUAGGAGAUAAAUUUUAUUAUUUAUUCAGCAUUUAAACUAUUCUGUCAUUCUAACUAUAUACGCUCACUCAUACAUGAUGCCAAGACCAAAGAUUAGAGCAGACUGGUUUGGAUCCUAGGGUCUGAAGAAAAAAAAAGAAACAUUUUUUGAUAUUUGCAAUGUGUAUAUAUGAAAUGCUUUCUGUAGCAUGCUAUUGUGCUACUAUUUAGACCUAGACUCAACAUGUCUAGUCAUGUAUCUAAUUGAUAGAAAUCAAUCAGACGAUGACAAUCAAGAACAUUUCAAUGGCCACAUAAAUCAUACAACAGAGAAUAACAAAUUCAAGCUGCAUGUUCAGGAUAUUCUAAGACUAAACUUCAAUAAAUGGAUUCUCAAUUUUCUGCAGAGAUGCAAUAUCAUGUCCUUCAACUAUAUGGAAGAAUAAUAUACAAACCAAUGGUAAUCAUGUUUAGCCUACCUAAUUCAAUUGAAUGAUAAAAAUUAUCUUAUUUCACAGAUUUUUUCUUAAAACAAAUCUAGCAAUUUGACAAAUCUAGUAAAUUUGAGGGGAUUGAAUUUACCUAGUGCUAGGUUGGCACCAUGGGAGCAGGAGAGGUGGGAGUUGACUGGCCACUCAUCCGGCAUCGAGCAGCGGAAGGCAGCUGCGACUUUCACUAGAACAUUAGCUGAGAAAACAAAUCCACAAAGCAUAAGUAAUGAAAUUUAGAACACAAACCUUUAGAAAUACAAAAUAGUUCUGAUAGUCAGGGAUUGCCCCAAGAUAAUAAGAAAAUAAGAAAAAUGGCUCUUCUAUAGAAGAUAUAGAAGUUUGAAACUACUGAUUAGCUGAACUGUUGAUUCUGAAAGGACAAAUCAAUAGUUAGAUACCACCAGCUCUCUCUAAUGGAUUAGAAUUGAUUAGCUUCCUGGCUCAGCAAAUCUAUGCACAAUUACAUUAACAAGGACUAAAGGCUAGCCUUACCUCAUGUGUAGGAGGCCGGGUAACUGGGUUACAGGCCAGGGGCUGCGCAGCGACAUCCCUCAAGAGGCAUCUCCGAAUGAAUACACUAUGUUGGAACACACAAAAAUAAGUGACACCACAGCUCAUUCCGAUAGAAGGUAGCCGAUUAAUCUAUGAAUCCAAAUAAAAAUACUUUAUAUACUUUAUACUUACCAAUCUGUGAAAAAAAUCUCAGGAAACAAAUGUAAGUUCAGUCAUAAGUUUGCUGGAAUCACACAUAUCUGAGCAUUUACAAUGUGUAAAAAAAAGCAACUUGCACAUCUUGUGUUCUUAUUCACAAAUAAAAAUAAUAAAUCUCUAAUUAUGCUCCACAGCCAGCACACAACCAACAUAUGAAAUCAUGUUAGCAACAUCUCUCACAGAUGGAUAAAAAAUGUCUACCAUCCUCCCACAAUCAAGAAAUCAUGCACCUCAAUAAUUAAUUGUAAAAAUCUUAUAUCAUCAUAAUCAUCAUCCUAGUACCAUUUACAACUAUGGAAUCACUAAUAGAAAUUUCAAGCAGCAAUUUCAAGAAUACAAUUUUUAAGCUAGUUGCAGGAAUGAAGGGUUUAGUUGUAUUCAUAUGAGAUAAUAAUGAAAUGCAUAUGCUAGCUUCCGGAAAGAAGAUUAUCACUUCUAGCUUGAUAUCAAGCUUUUGCCUACCCUGUCAGUGUUUUGCCAUAUUUUCUGGUGAUCACAUAUGAAUUUAAAAUUAGAGAAAAAUUUAUCAAUCCUAAAGACAAGCGACACAGCAAUAGGAACAUGGAAGUGCACUACACCAAGGGGACAUGAUUCCUGAACUUUGCUGCUUCCACGCCCUUUACCCGCUGACCAUGAGAGGAUGUAUGAAUCUGUGUCAAAAAAUAAAAUUCAUGCAUGUUUUGGAACAGGCAAAGAAGACCAGCGGCAGCGACAAGGAUGCAAAGAAUCCUACGGCUUGUGUAACCUCUGCCGACAUGAAAACAAUAAUAUGUAAUAUGUAAUUGUACAAUGAAGCAACAAUCCUAAUCGAAAAUACAUUGGAUCCAGAUACCUACCAACCAUAAUCCAAAAUACAUGAGACUGAGAUACCUACCUGAAUGCCGUGGUCCAGAACUCCAGUGGCGCGGGUACGAUGUGGAGGGGCCGGAUGCUGGAAUCAGGAGACCGAGCGGGCGGCGCUGGUGGCAGUGCACUGGGUCCAGAGGCUGGGGUACGCCGACUGAGACCGAAGGACCGGCGACGCGAUGCGUCUGCAGCCAAAUAGCCGUGGCGGCGCCACUGCGGUGAGGGACGCAGGAAGGAGACCAGGCAGACGCCGGACUGGCAGAGGGCGCUCUAGGCGGCGCCGCGGCGGUGAGAGACGCAGGAAGACCGAGUGGCCGCCGGACGGGCAGAGGGCGCCUUGGGUGGCGCUGCAACCUAGGCGGUGCCACGGCGGUGAGGGACGCAGAUAAACCGAGGACGGGCAGAGGAUGCCCUGGUCAGUGCCGCGGCGGUGAGGGGACGGGCAGAGGGCGGCAACGAUGUAAGGUCCUGCGGCGAGGACGAUGGCGAUCUAGGGUCUACAACCUUCGGAAGCUGCAAAACCGCCUGGGAGGUUACGGAGGGCGAGCUCAGAUCGUGUGCGGGGGGGAGACUUUUUUUGGUCGAUGCGAUAUGUAGGUGGGAGCGAGGAACGGCGCUCGGGUACGAGGGGAUCGGGAGAAUUCGGAGCAGGGUGCACCCGUGCUCCACUCGGGUUGGGCUCACUGAUUUG
rnacentral:lncRNA from 1 species